CAAGGAGGCAGAGGGGCAGCGGUGUGCGACGUCCGACGUGGCUGGCCGACGGUGGGCGCGGUGUCGGCUGCCUGUGGGCUGCGGGAGCGGAGGCGAGCGGGGCAGUGAGCGGGAGCAGGCCACUUCGGCUCCCAGGCUGCGGCGAUGCUCGGCGAUGCUGUGUUUGGUGCUGCUAGCGGCGAGCAAAGCGUAGGUGGAUUUACAGCGGCUUGGCGUGUGGAGGCGCAGUGGUGGUGUCGUCCUGGAAGGUCGUGGCUUUGGUGCCGGAUCGCCGCAUCGUGCACGUGCAGCUUGAGGUUCGGAUGCUCCGGGUGAAAGCCCUUGCCGGCAUUGCUGGCUGGAUGACGGCGGCGUCCUUGACGUCGUUUCCCCGUUGGGGGCGUCAUUUCUAGAGCUACAACUCUGCUGCACAAGGUUCUUUGGGUGAGAACCCUGUCCUCUGGACGAGCGACGGCGGCGAUGUUAUCGUCGUGCCCUUCUUGGAGGCGUCGUCUCUUAAGACCUUGCUCGGUUUGAGGCAUUGCUGGUCCUUUGUCCAUA